GAUGAACGCUGGCGGCGUGCCUAACACAUGCAAGUCGAACGAAGCACCUUACCUGAUUCUUCGUAUGAAAGUUUGGUGACUGAGUGGCGGAAGGGUGAGGAACGCGUGGGUAACCUGCGCUGUACAGGGGGAUAACAGCUGGAAACGGCUGCUAAUACCGCAUAAGCGCACGAGGAGACAUCUCCUUGUCUGGACAUCUCCGGUGGUAUAGUAUGGGCCGGCGUCUGAUUAGCUGGUUGGUAGGGAAACGGCCUAUCACGGCAACGACCAGUAGCCGGUCUGAGAGGAAGGACGGACACACUGGAACUGAGACACGGUCCAAACUACUACGGGAGGCAGGAGUGGGGAAUAUUGCACAAUGGGGGAAACCCUGAUGCAGCAACGCCGCGUGAGUGAAGAAGUAGUGCGGUAUGUAAAGCUCUAUCAGCAGGGAAGAUAAUGACGUUACCUGACGAAGAAGCACCGGCUAAAUACGUG
rnacentral:rRNA from 1 species